AUUGAACGCUGGCGGCAUGCCUUACACAUGCAAGUCGAACGGCAGCACGGGAGCAAUCCUGGUGGCGAGUGGCGAACGGGUGAGUAAUAUAUCGGAACGUGCCCAGUAGUGGGGGAUAACUGCUCGAAAGAGCAGCUAAUACCGCAUACGACCUGAGGGUGAAAGGGGGGGAUCGCAAGACCUCUCGCCAUUGGAGCGGCCGAUUUCAGAUUAGCUGGUUGGGGGGGUAAAGGGCUACCAAGGGAACGGUCUGUAGUUGGUCUGAGAGGACGACCAGGCACACUGGGACUGAGAAACGGGCCAGAAUCCUACGGGAGGCAGCAGUGGGGAAAUUUGGACAAUGGGCGCAAGCCUGAUCCAGCAAUGGCGCGUGCAGGAAGAAGGGCUUCGGGUUGUAAACUGCUUUUGUUAGGGAAGAAAUCCUCUAGGUUAAUACCCUUGGGGGGAUGACGGUACCUGAAGAAUAAGCACCGGCUAACUACGUGCCAGCAGCCGCCGUAAGAC
rnacentral:rRNA from 1 species